rnacentral:pre_miRNA from 1 species
GGAAGUUAAUAAACUGUUUCUUAACUUUUAACUAAAAAAGCUAAGAACCGGUUCUUAAAGUCCUUAUUUAAGAACCGGUUCUUAGCUUUUUUUAGUUAAAAGUUAAGAAACAGUUUCUUAACUUCC